rfam:Schistosoma rodhaini strain Burundi genome assembly, scaffold: SROB_scaffold0011663
AGGUUUUUGAAUCCGUGCUGAGAUUUCGUCAGACACCAAUCCAUUAGGGCUGAUCAGACUUUCAAGAUAAGUGAAGUU